rnacentral:pre_miRNA from 1 species
AAAUCUCUUCAAGCCGAAGGUCUAUGUAAGUUUGGUUGGAAUUCUGUGAGAAGAGAUUUCU